rnacentral:rRNA from 1 species
CGUGAGGAACCUGCCUUGAAGAGGGGGACAACAGUUGGAAACGACUGCUAAUACCGCAUAACGCAUAGGGGUCGCAUGAUCUUUAUGCCAAAGAUUUAUUGCUUCAAGAUGGCCUCGCGUCUGAUUAGCUAGUUGGCGGGGUAACGGCCCACCAAGGCGACGAUCAGUAGCCGGACUGAGAGGUUGAACGGCCACAUUGGGACUGAGAUACGGCCCAGACUCCUACGGGAGGCAGCAGUGGGGAAUAUUGGGCAAUGGGCGCAAGCCUGACCCAGCAACGCCGCGUGAAGGAAGAAGGCUUUCGGGUUGUAAACUUCUUUUAAGAGGGAAGAGUAGAAGACGGUACCUCUAGAAUAAGCCACGGCUAACUACGUGCCAGCAGCCGCGGUAAUACGUAGGUGGCAAGCGUUGUCCGGAUUUACUGGGUGUAAAGGGCGUGCAGCCGGGUCUGCAAGUCAGAUGUGAAAUCCAUGGGCUCAACCCAUGAACUGCAUUUGAAACUGUAGAUCUUGAGUGUCGGAGGGGCAAUCGGAAUUCCUGGUGUAGCGGUGAAAUGCGUAGAUAUUAGGAGGAACACCAGUGGCGAAGGCGGAUUGCUGGACGAUAACUGACGGUGAGGCGCGAAAGUGUGGGG